CGGAACGGGUGAGUAACACGUGGGCAACCUUUCCUAUCGCGGGGAGUAACACCGGGAAACCGAUGCUAAUACCGCAUGUCGUCACCGGUCGCAUGGCUGGUGAAGAAAGCAGCAAUGCACGAUGGGGUGGGCCCGCGGCCUAUCAGCUAGUCGGUGGGGUAACGGCCUACCGAGGCGAUGACGGGUAGCUGGUCUGAGAGGACGGCCAGCCACACGGGGACUGAGACACGGCCCCG
rnacentral:rRNA from 1 species